rnacentral:rRNA from 1 species
UUAAAAUAUAAAUAAAAAAAAUUAGAGUAGUAAUAGUUAUAUUCUUAAAACUUAAAAAAUUUGGCGGUAUUUUAAUCUAUACAGAGGAACUUGUUUUAUAAUUGAUAAUCCCCAUUGAAUCUUACUUAAUUUUGUUUAAUUUGUAUAUCGUUGUCAUAAGAAUAUCUUGAAAAAGAAAAAAUAUUCUAAUUUAAUUAUUAUUUUUUAUGUCAGAUCAAGGUGCAGUUUAUAGUUAAGUAAAAAUGAGUUACAAUUAAAAAUAUUAUUAAUAUUAUGAAUUAUAAAAUGAAAUUUUUUUAUAUGAAGGAGGAUUUGUUAGUAAAUUUUAAAAGAUAAUAAUAUUGAUUUUAGUUCUAAAAUAUGU